CUAUGAUCACCAAAGUUAAGCAACAUUGAGCCUGGUUAGUACCGAGAGGGGUGACUGCUUGGGAAUACCAGGUGCUGUAA